rnacentral:rRNA from 1 species
AUACGGAGGAUGCAAGCGUUACUCGGAAUCACUGGGCGUAAAGCGCGCGCAGGCGGGCUGAUAAGUUGGAUGUGAAAGCCUACGGCUCAACCGUAGAACUGCAUCCAAAACUGUCAGUCUAGAGUGUGGGAGAGGAAGAUGGAAUUAGUUGUGUAGGGGUAAAAUCCGUAGAGAUAACUAGGAAUACCAAAAGCGAAGGCAAUCUUCUGGAACACUACUGACGCUGAGGCGCGAAGGCGUGGGGAGCAAACAGGAUUAGAAACCCCGGUAGUCC